rnacentral:tRNA from 1 species
GCCUUUGUGGUGCAGUGGUCAGCACGCUCGACGCGUAACCGAGAGGUUCGUGGUUCGAAUCCUGGCCAGGGCU